AAGGGAGACCUAAUUCAGGUAGGAGACGAAAAAAAAGUAGUCCCUACCAAGAAUCAAUCCCAAAAGGUCGGAGCGAGGCAAAAUUGGCUUUCAAACUAGGUUCUGGGUUCACACAAGACCUGAAUCAGGAACAAGGGCUAUUAGCUCAGGUGGUUAGAGCGCACCCCUGAUAAGGGUGAGGUCCCUGGUUCGAGUUCAGGAUGGCCCACCUGCACAGGUGGCAAAAACAAGAGAAGCGAGGAAUCAGCACCUUAUCUUACUGACAUAGUAAGAGAGAAUGCUGGCUCUGAGUAAAGAGUCCAGAGGAACCUUGAAAACUGCAUAGAGCUAGGUGAAAAAGCCAAAAAAGAAGACCGCAA
rnacentral:tRNA from 1 species